AGUGAACGCUGGCGGUAGGCCUAACACAUGCAAGUCGAACGGCAGCACAGGAGAGCUUGCUCUCUGGGUGGCGAGUGGCGGACGGGUGAGGAAUACAUCGGAAUCUACUUUUUCGUGGGGGAUAACGUAGGGAAACUUACGCUAAUACCGCAUACGACCUACGGGUGAAAGCAGGGGAUCUUCGGACCUUGCGCGAUUGAAUGAGCCGAUGUCGGAUUAGCUAGUUGGCGGCGUAAAGGCCCACCAAGGCGACGAUCCGUAGCUGGUCUGAGAGGAUGCACAGCCACCCCGGAACUGAGACACGGUCCAGACUCCUACGGGAGGCAGCAGUGGGGAAUAUCGGCCAAUGGGCGCAAGCCUGAUCCAGCCAUACCGCGUGGGUGAAGCAGGCCUUCGGGUUGUAAAGCCCUUUUGUUGGGAAAGAAAUCCAGCUGGUUAAUACCCGGUUGGGAUGACGGUACCCAAAGAAUAAGCACCGGCUAACUUCGUGCCAGCCGCCGCCGUAA
rnacentral:rRNA from 1 species